rnacentral:rRNA from 1 species
GGUUAAGCGACUAAGCGUACACGGUGGAUGCCCUGGCAGUCAGAGGCGAUGAAGGGCGUGCUAAUCUGCGAUAAGCGCCGGUAAGGUGAUAUGAACCGUUAUAACCGGCGAUACCCGAAUGGGGAAACCCAGUGUGAUUCGUCACACUAUCAUUAACUGAAUCCAUAGGUUAAUGAGGCGAACCGGGGGAACUGAAACAUCUAAGUACCCCGAGGAAAAGAAAUCAACCGAGAUUCCCCCAGUAGCGGCGAGCGAACGGGGAGGAGCCCAGAGCCUGAAUCAGCAUGUGUGUUAGUGGAAGCGUCUGGAAAGGCGCGCGAUACAGGGUGACAGCCCCGUACACAAAAGCGCAUGUGCUGUGAGCUCGAUGAGUAGGGCGGGACACGUGGUAUCCUGUCUGAAUAUGGGGGGACCAUCCUCCAAGGCUAAAUACUCCUGACUGACCGAUAGUGAACCAGUACCGUGAGGGAAAGGCGAAAAGAACCCCGGCGAGGGGAGUGAAAAAGAACCUGAAACCGUGUACGUACAAGCAGUGGGAGCCCCACCACUAAGCCAGUGGUGAACUCCACAUCCGCAUCCUUUGCUGAGGAUACGGUUAACGGAGCGAAAGCGACGUUCAACCGCAAAACAAGCAGAGGGGGCUUAGUGGUGGGGUGACUGCGUACCUUUUGUAUAAUGGGUCAGCGACUUAUAUUCUGUAGCAAGGUUAACCGAAUAGGGGAGCCGGAGGGAAACCGAGUCUUAAUUGGGCGUUAAGUUGCAGGGUAUAGACCCGAAACCCGGUGAUCUAGCCAUGGGCAGGUUGAAGGUUGGGUAACACUAACUGGAGGACCGAACCGACUAAUGUUGAAAAAUUAGCGGAUGACCUGUGGCUGGGGGUGAAAGGCCAAUCAAACCGGGAGAUAGCUGGUUCUCCCCGAAAGCUAUUUAGGUAGCGCCUCGUGAAUUCAUCUCCGGGGGUAGAGCACUGUUUCGGCUAGGGGGCCAUCCCGGCUUACCAACCCGAUGCAAACUGCGAAUACCGGAGAAUGUUAUCACGGGAGACACACGGCGGGUGCUAACGUCCGUCGUGAAGAGGGAAACAACCCAGACCGCCAGCUAAGGUCCCAAAGUCAUGGUUAAGUGGGAAACGAUGUGGGAAGGCCCAGACAGCCAGGAUGUUGGCUUAGAAGCAGCCAUCAUUUAAAGAAAGCGUAAUAGCUCACUGGUCGAGUCGGCCUGCGCGGAAGAUGUAACGGGGCUAAACCAUGCACCGAAGCUGCGGCAGCGAACGUAUCACCCAAGACAACUUUACGGAGUUGACGAUUGACGGAGCGAAGCGACGUCAAAGCGUUCAUUAAAGUCGAGUUGGCUUAGGGAUACGUUCGUUGGGUAGGGGAGCGUUCUGUAAGCCUGUGAAGGUGUGUCGUGAGGCAUGCUGGAGGUAUCAGAAGUGCGAAUGCUGACAUAAGUAACGAUAAAGCGGGUGAAAAGCCCGCUCGCCGGAAGACCAAGGGUUCCUGUCCAACGUUAAUCGGGGCAGGGUGAGUCGACCCCUAAGGCGAGGCCGAAAGGCGUAGUCGAUGGGAAACGGGUUAAUAUUCCCGUACUUGGUGUUACUGCGAAGGGGGGACGGAGAAGGCUAUGUUGGCCGGGCGACGGUUGUCCCGGUUUAAGCGUGUAGGUGUGUGUUCCAGGUAAAUCCGGUUCACUUUAACACUGAGGCGUGACGACGAGGCACUACGGUGCUGAAGCAACAAAUGCCCUGCUUCCAGGAAAAGCCUCUAAGCAUCAGGUAACACGAAAUCGUACCCCAAACCGACACAGGUGGUCAGGUAGAGAAUACCAAGGCGCUUGAGAGAACUCGGGUGAAGGAACUAGGCAAAAUGGUGCCGUAACUUCGGGAGAAGGCACGCUGACACGUAGGUGAAGUGAUUUACUCAUGGAGCUGAAGUCAGUCGAAGAUACCAGCUGGCUGCAACUGUUUAUUAAAAACACAGCACUGUGCAAACACGAAAGUGGACGUAUACGGUGUGACGCCUGCCCGGUGCCGGAAGGUUAAUUGAUGGGGUCAGCGUAAGCGAAGCUCCUGAUCGAAGCCCCGGUAAACGGCGGCCGUAACUAUAACGGUCCUAAGGUAGCGAAAUUCCUUGUCGGGUAAGUUCCGACCUGCACGAAUGGCGUAAUGAUGGCCAGGCUGUCUCCACCCGAGACUCAGUGAAAUUGAACUCGCUGUGAAGAUGCAGUGUACCCGCGGCAAGACGGAAAGACCCCGUGAACCUUUACUAUAGCUUGACACUGAACAUUGAGCCUUGAUGUGUAGGAUAGGUGGGAGGCUUUGAAGUGUGGACGCCAGUCUGCAUGGAGCCGACCUUGAAAUACCACCCUUUAAUGUUUGAUGUUCUAACGUGGACCCGUAAUCCGGGUUGCGGACAGUGUCUGGUGGGUAGUUUGACUGGGGCGGUCUCCUCCUAAAGAGUAACGGAGGAGCACGAAGGUUGGCUAAUCCUGGUCGGACAUCAGGAGGUUAGUGCAAUGGCAUAAGCCAGCUUGACUGCGAGCGUGACGGCGCGAGCAGGUGCGAAAGCAGGUCAUAGUGAUCCGGUGGUUCUGAAUGGAAGGGCCAUCGCUCAACGGAUAAAAGGUACUCCGGGGAUAACAGGCUGAUACCGCCCAAGAGUUCAUAUCGACGGCGGUGUUUGGCACCUCGAUGUCGGCUCAUCACAUCCUGGGGCUGAAGUAGGUCCCAAGGGUAUGGCUGUUCGCCAUUUAAAGUGGUACGCGAGCUGGGUUUAGAACGUCGUGAGACAGUUCGGUCCCUAUCUGCCGUGGGCGCUGGAGAACUGAGGGGGGCUGCUCCUAGUACGAGAGGACCGGAGUGGACGCAUCACUGGUGUUCGGGUUGUCAUGCCAAUGGCACUGCCCGGUAGCUAAAUGCGGAAGAGAUAAGUGCUGAAAGCAUCUAAGCACGAAACUUGCCCCGAGAUGAGUUCUCCCUGAGACUUAGAGUCUCCUGAAGGAACGUUGAAGACGACGACGUUGAUAGGCCGGGUGUGUAAGCGCAGCGAUGCGUUGAGCUAACCGGUACUAAUGAACCGUGAGGCUUAACCUU